GGACUACAGGGGUAUCUAAUCCUGUUUGCUCCCCACGCUUUCGCGCCUCAGCGUCAGUAUCUACCCAGGUCGCCGCCUUCGCCACCGGUGUUCCUCCCGAUAUCUACGAAUUUCACCUCUACACCGGGAAUUCCGCGACCCUCUUUAGUACUCUAGCUACUCAGUUUCGGGUGCACUUCCUCAGUUAAGCCGAGGGCUUUCACAUCCGACUUGAGUAACCGCCUACGCGCGCUUUACGCCCAAUAAUUCCGAGCAACGUUUGCACCCCAUGUAUUACCGCGGCGGCUGGCAC
rnacentral:rRNA from 1 species